UUACGGUCAAAUCACGCUGAAACACCGGUUCUCGUACGAUCACCGAAGUUAAGCAGCGUAGAGCCAGGUCAGUACUUAGAUGGGGACCGCUUGGGAACACCUGGUACUAUA
rnacentral:rRNA from 1 species